CUCGGCAACGGAUAUNUCGGCUCUUGCAUCGAUGAAGAACGCAGCGAAAUGCGAUACUUGGUGUGAAUUGCAGAAUCCCGUGAACCAUCGAGUCUUUGAACGCAAGUUGCGCCCGAAGCCUUUAGGCCGAGGGCACGUCUGCCUGGGCGUCACGC
rnacentral:rRNA from 1 species